GGAGGGAAUGUUGUCGAAACCAAAAAAAAAAAUUUACAAGAUUUCCGGUGAGGUGUGAGUAGCUCGGACUGUUCUUCACGCCCCCCAUCCACAAAAGCUUUAACGGCCUCUUUGAAAACUCAUUUUAUUUUUCCAUUUUAAUUUUUAUUUGAGGAUUUUAAAAAAAAGUUGUUUUUUUCCUCUGUGCCAAAGUGUUUUCAAAAUAGACUACGAUUAUUACACUUCAGAGAAAGCGCCAUGAAAAUGAGGGGGAACCGACAGUAUACCAAAAAUUUCUGCACCAGACGGAGGACAUAUCCAAAUGAGGAAUGAACGAAAGAAAGAAAAAAAAAAAAAGGAGAGAACAAACCAAAAAAGAAACACUCUCUUUUUUUUUAAUUUAUUAUAUAAAAUAAUUUUUUUGUUGCCAUUCUUUUUUGGAAAUGUGAACUUUGAACUUUCUUAAAGGGAUGUGGAACUCAUUUUAGCGUUAGCUUUAGAUGUGAUGGGAAAAAAAGCGUAAUCAGGGGUGAUAGGAAAAAGAUUGUACUGUGAAAGGGAACAAUUUAUCAAAUGCUGUCUGAAGUUGAUUAACCUGUUAACUGCCAGUAAGGCUUGCUUUGAAAAGUUGUUUUAUUUUUUUUCAACGCUUCCCUCGCAGAGGAGGGUUUGAACCCUUUUAUUUCAGUGUUAAAUGGAGUAAGGUUACAGUUUUACAAGGGGAUCGGGGAGGGAGAAACCAGAAUGUGCUUCUGUGAACUGUAUUUAGGACCUUUUCAGAGUUGUCCCAUGUCUACAUUUUAAACGUAAGUUUGUGGGAGAAUUUUUAAAAAAAAAGACAUUUGUAACGAUUACUGGAUCAGCAUUUGUGCUGGAUGCCACUGUCUACUGAAUAAUCCUGGGUUGUCUAUAUAUGCCCCUCCAUAUGUUAAACUAAAAGGUUGGAUAUAACCAUUACUACACUGCAUACUUAUGUAUGCAUAAAUCCACC